GAAAACACUGAGCUUGGAAGCUGCUGCUGGCCCAGAGGAAGGCGCCUCCUCCCAGGGCCCGCCCGGCCCCCACUCACCGAACCCCCCUGGCCAGCGGGGCCUCUCUGCCCCCCGCAGCCGUCAUCACCACCGCACCGAGGGCCAGCGCACUUGAGGGGACCCGCAAGUCACCAGACCCUCUGGGCCUCGGUUUCCCACAAGCAAAAUGAGGUUCUGGGAAAUUCCACCCCAUGUGAGUCCUGCCCCAGUGGAGAGGGAGCCCCCUGAGGGCAGGCCCGAGUCUCGGUGGCCCUGAAGUGUGGCACCACGGGACCCCGAACAGAGGAGUCACACGGUGAGGCGGCGGGAGGCGUGGGCCUGGGUGUGGACAUGGUGGGGGGGGGCGUGGGCCUGGGUGUGAGGCUCUCCCCCCAGGUUCCUGAAGGACAGACUCACGUACUCCGCCCACAGGUGAGUUUCCUGCUUUGUCCCCAUGGUGCUGGCGGGACCAUGUCCCCCCACGAAGCAGCGACCCACCGCUGUCCAGCAGAGGCCUGUGCCUUCCUGGCAGCAGGGGGGGCCGGCCUGACCAGCAUGCUCAGCAGAGCCACCAGGGUAAGGGAGGGGCCCCCAGGAAAGGACCAGGACCCAGAGAGGGGUGGCCAGUGAGGAAAGGGCACAGCAGGGGGCAGGCUGGAAGCAGACGAGUUUUGGGCAGCACCUGACGCCAGGGCGGUGACGGGGUGUGGCCAGUCUCCACGGGGCACCCGAGAGACACAUCGUAGGCCACAGGGGGUUAGGCGGGCCGUCCUGCCCAAGAGGAGGGCGCUCCGGGAGGUCUUCACAGGUGCCGUAGGUCAUACGCAGUCCGCCCUGGGGGGCGGCCGUGCUCUUGCUUUCCAUCCGCCCUACACCCUCGACGGCCUCCACACCAAGGACGGUGGGAAGUCAGAUCUCACCCUACCUGCAAGCGGGCACAGGUGCUGCCGUGGGCCGGGGAAGGUGGCGGAAGGAGGAGACUGAGGGCUCACACACGAGCUAGAGGACCUCUCGAGGGCACCCCCAGUCACACUGCUCCCCAAGCCCUUUCCCGCAGGGGACGUGGAGGGCCAGGCUGCACCUGCAUGGCCGCUUACAACACCCAUUACAGGCCACGACCGGGCGCUCUGUCCUCCAGGGAGACACAGCCUCUCACCACCAGACCUCCCUGGGGGCAGAGCCGUCAGUGCGGGGACACAGGGGCCUACAAGAGUUAGGAAAAUAGCCCGAAGGCACAGCCACGAGGAGCUGGUUAAGUAAAUUAAAUCAUGCCCGUGCAAUGGAUUAUUGUUCAAACGUGGCCAUUAAAAAAUAGGUUGUGGAAGUACAUUUAAUAGCCCAGAAAUGCCAUCGAAAGGAACUUUGAAGCAAGAAACUAGGUUACGAGUUUCUACAGAGGACGCCCACAUCGGAAGGGGAAAGCUGUACCUACAAGCAUAGGAAACAAAACGGUGAACAAGUAAAUGUCUUUAAAGACAGAAGCUGGGUUUCUCGUCCAGACGGAGCCCCUGAGCCCCCAGGACAUGGGUUGGCCACCCCCCUGCCCGCACCCCCCCCCAUGUCUGCCCCUUCAUAGCUGCACGUCCUGGACGGAGACUGGACAGAGGAGGUGACGACGGGGUCAGUCCUGCCGUGACCUUUCGGAAAGCCCAGUGCUGCCCUGGCUGCCACGGGGUCUGGGGAACCAGGGCACAGCGGUGCUCUCCUCGGAAUCACAGGCCCCACGGGCCCAGGGCCCCCGAGGAAAGGACGCCUCUCCCUGCUGUGGCACAGCCCACCCCCCACAUUCUGGGAGAAUGGGCACAGAAAUCCAUCUUCCUUCCACUCCCAACAGCCCCUCAUCCAACCGGCACCAAUGGCUUCAGCCAACUGCAGACCCACAGGCCCAGAAUUUAGAAGAAAAUGUCUGAGGACAGGAGGGGUCUCACGAGAACUUUUCUGGGGAACCCCAGGAUAUUCCCAGGAGGUGGAGACACCACCGAGAACUUGACUUAGAGCUGCCACGUCACUUCUGUGAGAUGCUGGGCGUAAGGGGGGGGCGCUGCGGACGCCCCGUCCCGGCCCCACUCCUGCCCUGUCGGGCCGUCUCGUCCCUUCCUGCUCUCCUGGAUUCAGACCACCAGCAGCUCCAGGAGACGCCGGGCCCGGCCUGCCGCCCCCCCGACGCUGGCGCUCCUUCAGCCCAGCCCUGUCCUGCAGGUCCCGGCCAGACUAAUCCGAAACGGGACGUCUUGCUGUCAUGUUGUUUAUCUCCUCAAGCCUCCAGAAGGUCCCUACUUCGUGCCGUGACCAACGCUUCCUUUCUGCAGGCCGGGUAGGAAGAGCGCGAAGUGAGGCCCUGGUUCCUGAGGAGAGGACCGCGUGCUUGCCCCACAGCUGCAGAAAGAAGCAACCGUUUAAGUCAGGUCAACAAACAAGACUGGGAACUACACAAGCCCGGUCUUCUGGGCCCUUCUCUUCCUGGGAGGGGAGCGGAAAGGGAGCAAACGCGGAGCCGCCUCCCUGCUGGCCUGGGGGUGGCGGCCUCGGGACACCUGCCAAGGGGGGUAUGCAGGCCAGCGCAGGGCUCCGCAGAGAGGAGGCGGCACCAGCUCCGGAAGCCGCUCACCCAGCGCCCGCCCCGUGCAGGAGGGCGUCCCGCGCCAGGCCGGCUUCUGCCUCUGCCGUGCUUCGUGACGGCCCAUGCAGGACUCAGGGUGAGACGGCCCCGCAGGGUGCAAGCCCCCUCCCGGGACGAGGACCCAGCCAGAGGGCUGCGGACCCGAGAGCAGGGGCCCCGGGCCCCCAGGGCACGGCCCAAGGUGAGGUGACAGGGCCUCCCCCAUGCGCCUUUAAGAGGAAUGAAUAGAUUAAGUGGCUUCUUAGAUGUCCAACAUGUGGCAGAAUUUUAACAGUAAAAGAGGUCUCUGUGUACAAGUUAAGUUCUUGAAAAUCCCUCGUGUGUUUUAUGUCAUCCUCAAACUUGCAGAAUCCUCGAGUCCAGUGUAGCUCA